CUCAUGAUAUCGUAAUUUUGAAACAAAAAUAUUUUGGAUAUCUACAUAAAAGAAAUUGUAAAUUCGCCUAUUGGAACUGUCUGGCAUUGUCUAGUUCAGUUCAAGCUAAAUUUAAGCUUAAAUUUUAAGUUGACUCUUUUAUUUAGAACAAACUUGCACUUGUCGCCAGAAACUGAGCAAUUGGUAGGUGGAGAUUGGUGGCACAGAUGCAUUUCUGAUAAAACUCUCCUUAAGGUGCAUAGAGUAUAAG